UCCGUAGGGGGCAAGCGUUGUCCGGAAUUAUUGGGCGUAAAGAGCUCGUAGGCGGUCUGUCGCGUCGGUUGUGAAAACCUGCAGCUUAACUGUGGGCUUGCGGUCGAUACGGGCAUCACUGGAGUUCGGCAGGGGAGACUGGAAUUCCUGGUGUAGCGGUGAAAUGCGCAGAUAUCAGGAGGAACACCGGUGGCGAAGGCGGGUCUCUGGGCCGAUACUGACGCUGAGGAGCGAAAGCGUGGGGAGCGAACAGG
rnacentral:rRNA from 1 species